rnacentral:rRNA from 1 species
GACAGAGGAUGCAAGCGUUAUCCGGAAUGAUUGGGCGUAAAGAGCUCGUAGGCGGUUUGUCGCGUCUGCCGUGAAAGUCCGGGGCUCAACUCCGGAUCUGCAGUGGGUACGGGCAGACUAGAGUGUGGUAGGGGAGACUGGAAUUCCUGGUGUAGCGGUGGAAUGCGCAGAUAUCAGGAGGAACACCGAUGGCGAAGGCAGGUCUCUGGGCCACUACUGACGCUGAGAAGCGAAAGCAUGGGGAGCGAAUGGG